UACGAAGGGGGCUAGCGUUGUUCGGAAUUACUGGGCGUAAAGCGCGUGUAGGCGGGUCUUUAAGUCAGGGGUGAAAUGCCAAGGCUCAACCUUGGAACUGCCUUUGAUACUGGAGAUCUUGAGUCCGGGAGAGGUGAGUGGAAUUGCGAGUGUAGAGGUGAAAUUCGUAGAUAUUCGGAAGAACACCAGUGGCGAAGGCGACUUACUGGACGAUUGUUGACGCUGAGGUGCGAAAGCGUGGGGAGCAAACAGG
rnacentral:rRNA from 1 species